rnacentral:rRNA from 1 species
GAUGAACGCUGGCGGUGUGCUUAACACAUGCAAGUCGAACGAAGCACUUUAUUUGAUUUCCUUCGGGACUGAUUAUUUUGUGACUGAGUGGCGGACGGGUGAGUAACGCGUGGGUAACCUGCCUUGUACAGGGGGAUAACAGUUGGAAACGGCUGCUAAUACCGCAUAAGCGCACAGCAUCGCAUGAUGCAGUGUGAAAAACUCCGGUGGUAUAAGAUGGACCCGCGUUGGAUUAGCUAGUUGGUGAGGUAACGGCCCACCAAGGCGACGAUCCAUAGCCGACCUGAGAGGGUGACCGGCCACAUUGGGACUGAGACACGGCCCAAACUCCUACGGGAGGCAGCAGUGGGGAAUAUUGCACAAUGGGCGAAAGCGUGAUGCAGCGACGCCGCGUGAGCGAAGAAGUAUUUCGGUAUGUAAAGCUCUAUCAGCAGGGAAGAUAAUGACGGUACCUGACUAAGAAGCACCGGCUAAAUACGUG